UUAUUCCAAAAUUACUUCGGCCCGGAAAAAUACGAAAACAUCGAUCAAUCGAAUCGAAAUAUCCGCCGUGUAAUUCGCCGAUAAUUUAUCGAUGAAAAUCCGCCUAAUAAAUGGCGUAUUUAAUCACGAUAAAUAAUUCACCGUUCGAUCAAUUAAAAGUAAUCGAUGAAAGUAAAUGGGUGAUCGGCCAUACGGUUAAUGAGCACGCGACAUUCGUUGCAAAAAUCAAUCCCCCCGAUCGUUAAGCACGGCAAUUACGGGGAGCUUUUUCGAAUUUUCAUUCCACUUAAAACCGCUUUGGUGCCAUUUCAAAGCGAUUAAUUUCACCGAUCAUUCAUUCCCAGGAAAUUUUUCACGGCGAAAAGGCUCGCGCAAAAAAGGCUUCGCUUAUCCUUCCAUCGUUUCCACAAAUGUAUUUUUGGAAUCCGGGAUGGCACACGCGCGCGGAUAUACAUAUAUUAUAAUAUACUCGAAAACCUCGACCGGUUAACGCACCGGCAAAUCGCCGAAUCCCACAGCUUUCUCCCCAUCCUUCUUCCCCACCUUUCUUAAAUAUGUUUAUCCGCAUGUUUUAUGCUGCUCGCGCAAUAAUGCAGUUCGCGUAUCGCAUCCGAGCAGGACAUCUCUCCGAAACGUCUCGUUCGUUUUGCUGACGAAUCUGCCAGGACCAGCCAGGGUCUUGGCUCCCUAUCGAGUUGAAACGGUCUCAAAGGGGAGAGAGAGAGAGUGAGAGAGAGAGAGAGAGAGAGAGAGAG